GUGUAUUUAUUGUUCUGUGCAUUUAUUGUUCUGCGUAUAUUAUUCUGUGUAUUUAUUGUUCUGUGUAUAUUG